UUCUCUUUAAAACCCACUGGGGCUCCCAGG
rnacentral:piRNA from 1 species